rnacentral:rRNA from 1 species
UAAUAUAUCGGAACGUACCCUAGGGUGGGGGAUAACGUAGCGAAAGUUACGCUAAUACCGCAUACGAUCUACGGAUGAAAGCAGGGGACCGCAAGGCCUUGCGCUCAUGGAGCGGCCGAUAUCUGAUUAGCUAGUUGGUAGGGUAAAAGCCUACCAAGGCAUCGAUCAGUAGCUGGUCUGAGAGGACGACCAGCCACACUGGGACUGAGACACGGCCCAG